UGGAGCAAUCCAUGAGUACAGUGGCGUACGGGUGAGUAACACGUGGGUAAUCUACCUCUUAGUGGGGAAUAACCCUGGGAAACCGGGGCUAAUACCGCAUAAGCCUGAGAAGGGAAAGCAGCAAUGCGCUGAGAGAGGAGCCCGCGGCCGAUUAGCUAGUUGGUAGGGUAAAGGCCUACCAAGGCAGAGAUCGGUAGCCGGCCUGAGAGGGCACACGGCCACACUGGCACUGAAACACGGGCCAGACUCCUACGGGAGGCAGCAGUGGGGAAUCUUGCACAAUGGGGGCAACCCUGAUGCAGCGACGCCGCGUGAGCGAUGAAGCCCUUCGGGGUGUAAAGCUCUUUCGUCAGGGAAGAUGAUGACGGUACCUGGAGAAGCAGCUGCGGCUAACUACGUGCCAGCAGCCGCGGUAAUACGUAGGCAGCGAGCGUUGUUCGGAGUUACUGGGCGUAAAGGGUGUGUAGGCGGUUCUUUAAGUUUGGUGUGAAAUCUCCCGGCUCAACCGGGAGGGUGCGCCGAAUACUGAGGGACUAGAGUGCGGGAGAGGAAAGUGGAAUUCCUGGUGUAGCGGUGAAAUGCGUAGAUAUCAGGAGGAACACCGGUGGUGUAGACGGCUUUCUGGACCGUAACUGA
rnacentral:rRNA from 1 species